AGCGAACGCUGGCGGCAGGCCUAACACAUGCAAGUCGAACGAACUCUUCGGAGUUAGUGGCGGACGGGUGAGUGACACGUGGGAACGUGCCUUUAGGUUCGGAAUAACUCAGGGAAACUCGUGCUAAUACCGAAUGUGCCCUUCGGGGGAAAGAUUUAUCGCCUUUAGAGCGGCCCACGUCUGAUUAGCUAGUUGGUGAGGUAAAGGCUCACCAAGGCUACGAUCAGUAGCUGGUCUGAGAGGAUGAUCAGCCACACUGGGACUGAGAAACGGUCCAAACUAUUAGGGGAGGGACCAGGCCCGAAUAUUGGAGGAGGGGCGAAAGGGGGAUCCAGCCGUAAUGGGCGAGAGACGAAGGUCUCCGGACCGGGAAGAACUUUAAGGUGUGAGGAUGGUAAAUAUCCUUAACCGGGGCCGUUUUGACGUUACCCAGAGAAAAAGCCCCGGCUAACUUCGUG
rnacentral:rRNA from 1 species